rnacentral:lncRNA from 1 species
GCGAUUUUAUUUAUUUCAAUUAUCCACCGUCCAAAUGUAAACACAAAUUACAAAAUGUCUGGCCUCUCAUUUUUAGUUCUCGAUUCAGUUUUUAUCUGCUGUUUGGGAAGUCGUAUAUACGUUUCAAUUUAUUAUUUGUUAAAAAUUAAGUAUAACAUAAACUAACCAUGUUUCCUCCAUGAAGCUUGUACGGUGGGAAUCGGAACCGUAUGUCGGCCAUCUUGGUAAAAUUGACAGAAAUGACGUUGUUAGAAUUGACUGGAGUGUCAUAUCAUUUGAGUUUGCUUUUCAAUGUAUGCAGUAAAUAUGGGUUGGGUUUGUUUCAAGGAUGCCAUUUUAUUUAUUUUUUCUAAAAAGUAUCCCAUUCAAUAUGAGGAGUAAUUUUUUAAUUGAUUUGCAGCAAUUCCAGGUUUCCGUUUCAAUGAGACGAGACAGAAGUACAAAGACUAAGAGAGCUAAGUACCCAGAAUGGACCAGAAUAAAUAUUUCUGUUAUAACUUGAGUUUAUUUUAAUUUCUUGUAGACAUGUGUCUUUCAAUUAAGUUUUUUUAUGUUAUAGUUCGAAGCUAUGCUGUUAAUAUUAUGAGAGACAAAUAGAUUGUAUUGUGUAAGAGA